rnacentral:rRNA from 1 species
AGAGUUUGAUCCUGGCUCAGAAUGAACGCUGGCGGCAGGCCUAACACAUGCAAGUCGAACGGAUCCUUCGGGGAUUAGUGGCGGACGGGUGAGUAACGCGUGGGAACAUACCCUUUGGUACGGAAUAGCCUCGGGAAACUGGGAGUAAUACCGUAUGUGCUCUUCGGAGGAAAGAUUUAUCGCCAAAGGAUUGGCCCGCGUUGGAUUAGGUAGUUGGUGGGGUAAUGGCCUACCAAGCCGACGAUCCAUAGCUGGUUUGAGAGGAUGAUCAGCCACACUGGGACUGAGACACGGCCCAGACUCCUACGGGAGGCAGCAGUGGGGAAUCUUAGACAAUGGGGGAAACCCUGAUCUAGCCAUGCCGCGUGAUCGAUGAAGGCCUUAGGGUUGUAAAGAUCUUUCAGUGGGGAAGAUAAUGACGGUACCCACAGAAGAAGCCCCGGCUAACUCCGUG